CUCAAUGCACCAUCUUCAUGGCAUCAUCAACUUCUUGGAAAGGCAGAAUGGAUUCAUCAGCUUCUCCUCAAUCACCUCUCAUUGAAGCCGCAUUGAUGGAGAGCCUUCCUCCUCACUCGCCAAGGCUGCUCUGAACAGCCUCUUGCCUAGACACGCCACUGACUUGGUCCGGUUGAUGAUCCUUGUAGAAGCUUUUGCAAAAGACCAUGGAUCAUAUGCAUUAAGACUCCCCCUCAAGCUUAGAACCGAGACUAGAAGGAGCUAAGCUUGUGAUGAUCCUAUGCAUCCCCAUGGUCUAAUAACUAUCAUCUUUCAUGAUAGCUUUCUUCUUGUGAGUUUACUCUCUUCCUUAACCAGGAACUAGGGUGUUUGAAUCACCAUAGAGAGUCUCACAAGACACACCUCUCAUUGCAUAAUGACCCAUGCUACACUUCCUGUAGACUAAGGACUAGAUAUGUCCAAUGGUAUUAUGCAAUGGCUAUCUCUCAUUGCAUACUCAAUCACACUACACUUCCUGUAGAUUAUGGACUAACAUGUCCUAGUGAUGAUAUGCAAUGGCACAAGACCUUUGUCUCUACAUUCUUGGUUGAUGGCGAGUUACAUGUAUCACUUCCCUUGUGUACCUAACACCACCAAAACUCAAUGUAAGAUCAGAUCAUCCCAUUGGGAUCAAGCCAAGAUCAUCCAUCCUGUUUGAUCACCAAUGCCACAAUAAUAUAUGAUACUUGAAACAAGCUAGACAAUCAAUUCAGUUUUUUUUUUAAAUGCAACAAUAGAUGAAUGCAUUAGGUUACACUAACUAUAUGAAUGAAACAGAUUCAAUCCAACAUGGAACACAAGUCUAGAUGAUACUUCUGCAAUUAAGGCGACAAGAGUGACACAAAUCAUGCUUAUGCUCACUAGUUUUAUCAAGGCCAAUGAUUCAAGUAGCUUAGACAUACUUCUAAAUGCUUAUAAGACAUCACUGAUGGAUUUAACUAUGGCAUAGCAACAAUCAGAACUGGACUGAGUCAAGACAAGCAGAUUUCAAUUUCUAACAAUGACAAUGCAAGUUCUAUACAGUUCUCUAAAUGCAAAGCUUAUAUCAGUACAUUUGCAAGUUAGGCUCAUUUUAAAAUGCAUUACUACAUGAAUGCACAAUCUUAAAGCAUUAGCUAUAUGAAUGCAACAGGUUCAAUCCAUGAGUAAUAUUAAAGCUCUGCACAACAGUUUCAAUCAGAACCAAUGAUGCAAGCAACUUAGACAAUUUCUAAUUGAUGCAAGACUUUCAUUGAUGGAUUAAACAUAGGCAAUAGCAUCAGAUAACACUAGGAUUGAACUUAGACAAAACUUAGACAGUAUGAGAUAUGCUUAUGUAUGCAAAAGAGCUUAUCAAUCAUGAUGCAAGCAGCAGAGACAUUCUACUCAAUUCUACAACACAUUCAUGAUGAUUCAAGCUAUGACAACACUCAAGACAAUGCAAUAAACAGAACAUGAGAUUCUGGGACUCUAGACAUUACUUACUAUCAAUAUGACAAUGCAACAGCAAAACAAUUUCAGUGCAAUUAGCCUAGACAUUCUACUAGAAGCUAUAAACUCUUAAUGGAAUUAGGGAAAGCACAUAGUAUAAUCAGGAGAUAAACCUAUCAAGACAUAUUAAGAUAGAUGAGAUUAGGUUUACUCCCUUGGUUAAGAUGAUGAGGAGUGGUUCUCAAAGAUACCACUUGAAUCCUUACUUCUUCUUCUUCUCUUAUUGCAAUCACCCUUCUGAAUUCACCACCAUGAUGGAAUGCUUGUGGAUGCUUCAGCUACUUCUUCAAUCACCUCACAAUAGAAGCCGCCUUGGUAGAGUAGCCUUCUUCUUCACACAGCCAAGAGUGCUCUGUCUUAGUUUGAGCACCCUCUUGAAUAGGCACGCCACUGCCUAGACCCGGUUGGCUUCUUCUUCAGUUACUUGCAAUGGUAAGAGGAAGACCAGUGAGCUUCACGUGAGUUUUACAACCAUCUGCGCUUCACCCUUCUUGUAGUAACUCUCCAUUGCACACACAAUGGACACCAUUCUUUCUCUUUAAACUCGGAUUUGAUGAUGAACUAGGAACACCUUUUGUGAACCUGAAACAUCACUCAAACUCUAGCCAAGAUAAGACACAAUUGCAUUGGGAUCAAUUCUUGACUUCAUCAAGUUUGAUCACCAAUGUCUCAAGCUUUAUAACAUUAGAAAGAAUCAAGACAAUGUCAAGUUCUUAUCUAUGCAAGCAACCAUUCUCUAAAUACUAAGCAAGACCUUAUCAGAUUCAAGUCAAAGUAUUUAGGCAAUUUUAAUCACUCCUUAAUAUGCAACUUAGACUUUAAUCUAAAUGCAACAAUCCAAGGCAUCAACAAGGCAGUAUGCAUUAAUCUUAACAGUUUCUAACUCAUGAAAGCAAGUAUGAUUAGAUAAUAUAAUCUAUCAUCUUAACAAGACAAGUUAAUUUAGAGCUGACAUUAAGCAUUUACCAUUUUCAAUAGUAUUGAUGUCAAAACUUGAUUAAUAAAUCAUCAAGUUUGAUUCCCAAUAUCACAAGCAAUGCAACAGAUAGACACAGGGCAUUAUCAAGUUCUAUACUUUGCAAGCUAACUCUCUAAGUACAUGCAAGAUCCUACCAGAUUCAAGACAAGUUACUUAGGCACUUUUAAAGCUUCUUUACUCAGCACUUUAGACAUGAAUCUAAUGCUUCAAUGUAAGACAGCCACAAGACUAUAUGCAACAGCUUUUAAUUCAGUUUCAAUCUAUGUACGCAAGCAGAUUCAAUUAAUCACACUAAGCAUCACAAUGAACUGGAGCUAAGCAUAUUAAUCACAUUCAGUCACCAAACAAAGCUCUUAAAGUAUCCUGGGACAGAUUCUAAACAUUUUAAUUUAUCAAUCUUUAACAAUCCUCAGGUUUUCAAUCACACCACACAUUCUAACCAGUCAACAACACAAGCUUAUUAUCAAGAGGGUUUUAAAUCGCUUACACAAGGAACCAGGUUGGUUCCUUAAACCUCCAAGGGGACUGGCCAUGGCUUUUGUUGAAUCUGAGAGUCUGGAUAGUCACCCACCUCCUACUCCUUCAGUUCAUGGCCACCUUCUUGUUUCUCCAGCUCAAAGACUCCUCCUUUCUUCAAGCCUUCUAGGCGCCAUCAUCUUGACAGCUUUCAUGAUGAACCGGGUGAAGAAAGCUCUUGGAGGAGGCGCCUUGGAUGAGGUUCGUGAGUCCUCUCCAUACACUUCUGCUUCCAAUGAGUCUCUCCAUCAGUAUAGUCAGGAGAAAGGAUGAGAGACACGCCCUUCAGUCUUCUUCUCAUGGAGAAACUGAACUCGGAUGGGAAUGUCUUCAAGGAUUGGAUUUGAGCUGAGGGUAGAGCUUGUGUUGUGCGGAAGCUACAGCUCAGGUUCUGAUGAACCUGGCUCUGAUACCAUAUGAUUUUUAAAGAGAUCUCUACUCUGGUAGUAUGUGUGUGUGUAUAAGCUUCAAUGAAGAAUGAUUAGAGCUUGUUCUAGGUGAUAUAGAGAGAGAGAUUGGUGAGAGUGUUUAUGAGUAUAUGAGAGACUUUAAGGACAGAGAUUAAGAGACUUAAGAGACUAGAGAGACUGAGAGAAUAAGAGACUGAAGAUUAGUGUUUCAGAUUAGAGAAGGAGAGGGGAAACCCCCUUACUCACUUAAUUCUUUACAAUAGCCAAUGCUUGGCUUAUAUAUGACUUUACACUUUUCAGUAUCAUAAACCUAUAUCCUAAGGCUGAUAAUAACUUGAAUGCUGGACGGCCUGGAUGAGGGGAGACUGGUCUUUGGUCUUGGCAGCUAGUCUUGUAAUUGGUUGAUUCAAACUGAGGCAAAAGGAGACUGAAGGCGCCAAUGUAUCUUGCUCCUUAUGUGACCAGAUUCAUGCUUCUCCUUUUGCCUUUACCUUUUGCUUUUGCUUUUACUUUACAGCUAGCUCCUUAUCCACAGCUAGCUCCUUAUCCACACAAGAUGCUCAGCAUAUUCCUUUUGCAUACAAACCACUCCAACGGAUUGAUUAAUGUAUCCACAUCACUUAUGAUCUCAUCCAUACUUCUUUAUUGCUUGUACUCCAAGGCAACCUUGUACCACACGGUUCCUUGUGUCUUAUACCCAAGUCUUGAUCAUAUGUGAUGUGUCAACCUCUUCUCCAUAACUUAACCAUCCCAAGACCUGAUAGAACUCGUUUGGAUCACCCAUGUCCUUGCCUGGCCGUACCAUCCGUACCACCGGCCGUACAUGGUCAUCCCUAUCUUUGCACUAUCAACCUUUCUCUCCCAAACUCCUCCAAAGCCUUCACAUGAUCAGUCUAAGUCUUUCCUAGACUUAACUUCACAAGAUAACUACUUCAGAACACUUCUGAAGCUUGAUUGAACUCUUCUGGACAUCUUCUAGAGCUUGCCCUAUUAUUGUACAAGCUCCAUCUUCUCUUCAGUUCAACACUCCCCCUCAAGCUUUGACUUUAGGAGAUCCUAAGCCAAGCUUGGAACUCUGAAGAGUCUCCCUCAUUAAAAACCUUACAAGGAAAACCCAUUGGGACAAAACCUUGCAAGGGAAAAAGAGUAGAGCUCUUCAAAGCCUAGGGAUUAGCCAGUGAGCUCUUGUGCCUUAGAACCAGUGUGGUUGGACACAAGAAGCUCUGGAUCACGGCCUAACAGGUGCAGCAACUCUUCACAGUUUUGUGCACACUUCACACUUCACACUUCAGCUUCACCUCUUCAUGGAACAGGUUUGAAGUCUCCCCCUCUCAACUGACUUCACAGCCAUCUUAGAGAAGUUAGGACACGACCAGAUCAUCUUCAAAACACUAGUGAGGCUGAUCAACACUUCACACACGGCUUGCCCUCUUCAUAGAACUGGUUUGGAUCUCCCCCUCUCAACAGACUUCUCAGCCAUCUUAGAGAAGCUAGGAACUGACCAGGAACAUCUUUAGUGAGGCUCAAGCAAUGGUACCUGAUACAUUAUCCCAAAGGUGCAUCAGUACCUAUCAAAAACAAGAAAAUGAAUAUCCUGCAUCACACUUGAUGCACACAAUCUCACAAUUCAAUCAUAAUCAUCUUAAGUAUCUUUUCAAGCACAAGCAAUGAAUAAGAUGAAUGAAAAAGAUUGAAAAGAGUUUUAAAAGUCUAAGGGAACUUCCCUUGUGUUUUUGUGAGUUUACAAACUCUCUCAAUGCACCAUCUUCAUGGCAUCAUCAACUUCUUGGAAAGGCAGAAUGGAUUCAUCAGCUUCUCCUCAAUCACCUCUCAUUGAAGCCGCAUUGAUGGAGAGCCUUCCUCCUCACUCGCCAAGGCUGCUCUGAACAGCCUCUUGCCUAGACACGCCACUGACUUGGUCCGGUUGAUGAUCCUUGUAGAAGCUUUUGCAAAAGAC
rnacentral:lncRNA from 1 species